CCCCNGGCUCAACCUGGGAACUGCGUUNUGAACUGGGUGACUAGAGUGUNUCAGAGGGAGGUAGAAUUCCACGUGUAGCAGUGAAAUGCGUAGAGAUGUGGAGGAAUACCGAUGGCGAAGGCAGCCUCCUGGGAUAACACUGACGUUCAUGCCCGAAAGCGUGGGUAGCAAACAGGAUUAGAUACCCUGGUAGUCCACGCCCUAAACGAUGUCGAUUAGCUGUUGGGCAGCAUGACUGCUUAGUAGUGAAGCUAACGCGUGAAAUCGACCGCCUGGGGAGUACGGUCGCAAGAUUAAAACUCAAAGGAAUUGACGGGGACCCGCACAAGCGGUGGAUGAUGUGGAUUAAUUCGAUGCAACGCGAAGAACCUUACCUGGUCUUGACAUGUACGGAACCCUCCAGAGACGGAGGGGUGCCUUCGGGAGCCGUAACACAGGUGCUGCAUGGCUGUCGUCAGCUCGUGUCGUGAGAUGUUGGGUUAAGUCCCGCAACGAGCGCAACCCUUGUCAUUAGUUGCCAUCAUUAAGUUGGGCACUCUAAUGAGACUGCCGGUGACAAGCCGGAGGAAGGUGGGGAUGACGUCAAGUCCUCAUGGCCCUUAUGACCAGGGCUUCACACGUCAUACAAUGGUCGGUACAGAGGGUAGCCGAGCCGCGAGGUGGAGCCAAUCUCACAAAACCGAUCGUAGUCCGGAUUGCACUCUGCAACUCGAGUGCAUGAAGUCGGAAUCGCUAGUAAUCGCAGGUCAGCAUACUGCGGUGAAUACGUUCCCGGGUCUUGUACACACCGCCCGUCACACCAUGGGAGUGGGGGAUACCAGAAG
rnacentral:rRNA from 1 species